rnacentral:rRNA from 1 species
CAAAUCUGCUUUGAUAAUGCUGGGAGUGGAUGGGGAGCGAAAUUUAGUAGCGAAUUAGCUCAUUACACACGGAAAAGUAAAGUCUCUAUCGAGUUUAAAGGUACCCAUACCUAAUACCGAAACAGGUGGGUGAUGAGAGUAUCCUAAGGCUAGCGAGAGAACUGUUGGUAAGGAACUCGGCAAAAUGACCCCGUAACUUAGGGAUAAGGGGUGCAACCAUCAGGUGGCCGCAGAGAAUAGGCCCAAGAGACUGUUUACCAAAAACAUAGGUUUCUGCUAAGUCGCAAGCCGAUGUAUAGGAGCUGACCCACGCCCGGUGCUGUCAGGUGAAGGGUGUCUGUUAGAGCNAUCGCAGCAGUGCACUUAAGCCACACUAAACGGCGGACGUAACUAUAACGGUCCUAAGGUAGAGAAAUUCCUUGUCGGGU